AGUUCUGUGGCUUGGUUGGUUAAAGCACCGGUCUAGCGAAUACGGAGUCGUGGGUUCGAAUCCCACCAGAACGC
rnacentral:tRNA from 1 species